GCCUGGUUGGCUCAGUCGGUUGAGUGUCCGGCUUUGGCUCAGGUCAUGAUCCCACAGUUCGUGGGUUCGAGCCCAGCAUCGGGCU
rnacentral:tRNA from 1 species